CUCUCAGCUUUGGGCUUUUUAUGGCAUCUGGCCUGGCUCCGUCAGACAAAUGAUAUUCAAAAGACCCUAAUAAUAUAUGGCAGUUUGCAAGCCUCAUAAAUAUGCACAGGACUAUUCCUAUGAGUCCUUUGGAAAUGUGGCAUUUAACUUACCCUCCAAAGUCCAGGCAUAAGCAUUGAGCCCAGGGCUUACCAACUGAUAAUAUCCUUGUGGCCGGAGAUGAAUUCUUGGCCCAGUUAAAGCCAGUAUGACAGCACGAGGAAAAUCUAUGGAACAUUUGGAAAGAGAUAAUCUCAUUAUCCUAGAUUUUAGAGUGCGUGAAGAUCUAAACCUCACUCACAUGAGAUGCUUAAAGUCACCAACAGAGACUGCUUGAGAAAGAAGAUGGAGAGACAUAGAUUACAGUUUUCAGAAUGAUCCCUGAUAUUUGCAAUCAUCGGAUGUCGUUUUAACUCACUCAUAAAAUGAAAAUGUAGGAUUGUGACCAAAACAAACAAACAACAACAACAACAACAAAAAAAAAACCCCACACAUAACUGAAACCCAUGGUCUGUAACUAUGGGAAGAGAAUACUCUUAAGUGUGUGUUACUCCAAUGAUUUACCACUGAAAAAGGAAAACAUUUCCCCAGCGGGGCACUUUCUUUAGAGAAAAUGAUGGGUGGAGUACAGAAACCAUGGAACCGGGAAUUUGUUUAACAGACAGCAUUGGAAAGAAGAAUAACCAAUCUCAUAAAACACAGCUAAAUAUGGGACCUGGACCAGGAGCCUAGGGAAGGUGAUCAGUCAUAAAUUUAUGGUGGAAACACAAAGUUUAUUAUUGAGAAUAUGGUUUUUGUAUCAUUAGAAUCUAAAAGGGACCAAAGAAACAACAUCUUGAAGAAAUCUAAGUGCUUGAAGAGUAAUGUAGUUUCUUGCACAUAAGAAAGAAACAUAAAAACAUGCAUGAUUCAGUGCAUUCAAAUUUAUGAAUUUGAAAAGAAAAUAAAAGAAAAACAAAGCACACACCAGGAAAAAAACCUCUCUGCCUCAGUUAGGCAUCACUGUAGCCUUUAAAAUACUUAGAGUGUGCCUUAAAUCACUGACAUUAUCUUCCCUAAAAAUUCAUAAGCAAGCCUCUAGGCACUAACCACAUUUCCUAAGUCUCUGUUGACAGUGUUGCUAAGUAUCUGUUGACACUGUUGAAUCACAGAGAUAUAAGAUAUGAAAUGCAAGACUUCUCAGCGCUAGGCAACUGCAAGCUCACACAAAUGUGCAGAAGAAGAAGAAAAAAGAUAACAGUGGAAAACUGAACACUCUUGCUGACCAGCCAAGCUCAUUUUCUUCUGAUAGCCUUAUAAAAACCCUAUCUGAAUAUUCAAGAUGGUUUCUUUAGGAUGUGAGUCUUCAUCUCCUCAAAAUAAUUAUUUUCUAAAAAACCUCGCUUUCCUACCCCCCCAACUCUUGCCUCUCAUAUUUAACUUACUGGUGGCAGGUGGCUGAGCCUGGUGUUUUGUUGUUUGUAUUAAUUCAUCUUUUUUUAUC